UACGUAGGGUGCGAGCGUUGUCCGAAAUUACUGGGCGUAAAGAGCUCGUAGGUGGUUUGUCGCGUUGUUCGUGAAAACCGGGGGCUUAACCCUCGGCGUGCGGGCGAUACGGGCAGACUUGAGUACUGCAGGGGAGACUGGAAUUCCUGGUGUAGCGGUGGAAUGCGCAGAUAUCAGGAGGAACACCGGUGGCGAAGGCGGGUCUCUGGGCAGUAACUGACGCUGAGGAGCGAAAGCGUGGGGAGCGAACAGG
rnacentral:rRNA from 1 species